rfam:Gonapodya prolifera JEL478 unplaced genomic scaffold M427scaffold_19, whole genome shotgun sequence.
UCCGAUAUAGUCCAGUGGUUAGGAUCCCGCGCUUUCACCGCGGUGACCCGGGUUCGAACCCCGGUAUCGGAA